rnacentral:rRNA from 1 species
GAUGAACGCUGGCGGCGUGCCUAAUACAUGCAAGUCGAGCGAACGGACGAGAAGCUUGCUUCUCUGAUGUUAGCGGCGGACGGGUGAGUAACACGUGGAUAACCUACCUAUAAGACUGGGAUAACUUCGGGAAACCGGAGCUAAUACCGGAUAAUAUUUUGAACCUCAUGGUUCAAAAGUGAAAGACGGUCUUGCUGUCACUUAUAGAUGGAUCCGCGCUGCAUUAGCUAGUUGGUAAGGUAACGGCUUACCAGGGCAACGAUGCAUAGCCGACCUGAGAGGGUGAUCGGCCACACUGGAACUGAGACACGGUCCAGACUCCUACGGGAGGCAGCAGUAGGGAAUCUUCCGCAAUGGGCGAAAGCCUGACGGAGCAACGCCGCGUGAGUGAUGAAGGUCUUCGGAUCGUAAAACUCUGUUAUUAGGGAAGAACAUAUGUGUAAGUAACUGUGCACAUCUUGACGGUACCUAAUCAGAAAGCCACGGCUAACUACGUG